rnacentral:tRNA from 1 species
UCCCCGAUGGCUCAAGUGGUAAAGAAUCUGCCUGCAAUGCACGAGAUGCAAGAGACGCAGGUUCAAUCCCUGGUCGGGGAA